rnacentral:rRNA from 1 species
CCGCGGGAUUAGAGUUUGAUCCUGGCUCAGAACGAACGCUGGCGGCGUGGAUAAGACAUGCAAGUCGAACGCUGACAUUUGGGUAGCAAUAUUCGGAUGUCGGAGUGGCGCAAGGGUGCGUAACACGUGGGCAAUCUGCCGUGAAGCCUGGGAUAACUCGCUGAAAGGCGAGCUAAUACCGGAUGUGAAUUUUGGAUGGCAUCAUUUGAAAUUCAAAGUUGGGGACCGCAAGGCCUGACACUUUACGAUGAGCCCGCGGCCUAUCAGCUAGUUGGUGAGGUAACGGCUCACCAAGGCUAAGACGGGUAGCUGGUCUGAGAGGACGACCAGUCACACUGGAACUGAGACACGGUCCAGACACCUACGGGUGGCAGCAGUCGAGAAUUUUUCUCAAUGGGCGAAAGCCUGAAGGAGCGACGCCGCGUGGGGGAUGAAUGGCUUCGGCCCGUAAACCCCUGUCAUUUGCGAACAGAUUAAUUCACUUAACACGUGGAUUAUUGAUUGUAGUAGAAGAGGAAGGGACGGCUAACUCUGUGCCAGCAGCCGCGGUAAUACAGAGGUCCCAAGCGUUGUUCGGAUUCACUGGGCGUAAAGGGUGCGUAGGCGGUUGGGUAAGUCUGGUGUGAAAGCUCGGAGCUUAACUCCGAAAUGGCAUCGGAUACUAUCUGGCUAGAGGAAUGGAGGGGAGACUGGAAUACUUGGUGUAGCAGUGAAAUGCGUAGAUAUCAAGUGGAACACCAGUGGCGAAGGCGAGUCUCUGGACAUUUCCUGACGCUGAGGCACGAAAGCCAGGGGAGCAAACGGGAUUAGAUACCCCGGUAGUCCUGGCCCUAAACGGUGCACGUUUGCUGUAAGCGGAAU